rnacentral:rRNA from 1 species
UACGUAGGGUGCAAGCGUUAAUCGGAAUUACUGGGCGUAAAGCGUGCGCAGGCGGUUUUGUAAGUUUUGUCGUGAAAUCUCCGGGCUCAACCCGGAAAUGGCAUUGGAAACUGCAUGGCUAGAGGGUUGGAGGGGGGGACUGGAAUACUUGGUGUAGCAGUGAAAUGCGUAGAUAUCAAGUGGAACACCAGUGGCGAAGGCGAGUCCCUGGACAACACCUGACACUGAGGCACGAAAGCUAGGGGAGCAAACAGG